rnacentral:rRNA from 1 species
UACGAAGGGGGCUAGCGUUGCUCGGAAUCACUGGGCGUAAAGCGCACGUAGGCGGAUUGCUAAGUCAGGGGUGAAAUCCUGGAGCUCAACUCCAGAACUGCCUUUGAUACUGGCGAUCUUGAGUUCGGGAGAGGUGAGUGGAACUCCGAGUGUAGAGGUGAAAUUCGUAGAUAUUCGGAAGAACACCAGUGGCGAAGGCGGCUCACUGGCCCGAUACUGACGCUGAGGUGCGAAAGCGUGGGGAGCAAACAGG